AGUGACUUGGUCGAGUCAAAUGAGUCGUUCAUUGACUCCAUCAACUUAGUAGAAGACGUUAUCUCAGUCCCAAUAUUCAUAGUAAGCUAUUAAAAUUAGUUAGCAUGUUUUUCCUGAUGAUGGCAAAAAUCUUACCUCUUUCAAAGACUUGACUUUUCCAGUUAACUUUGAAAUCCGUUCAUCAUUUUCAUUUUCCAAGGAGUCUAAAUGCUGAGGAGAUUGAGACUCAUACAAGGGCAACAUAUCGCCAUUGCGUUCUUUUCUUCUACCGAAUCUAAUGAUUAGUUAGACAUUGAUUGAUCAGAUUUAGUACAUACCUUGAUCCCAUUCUGAAGCU